GUCGAGAGGCUUCUACAAUGGGGGAAACCCUGAUAGAGCGACGCCGCGUGGGUGAUGAAGGUCUUCGGAUCGUAAAGCCCUUUCAGCAGGGAAGAAUGAGGCUGGUGUAAACAGCGCCAGACUCGGGACGGUACCUGCAGAAGAAGCUCCGGCUAACUCCGUGCCAGCAGCCGCGGUAAGACGGAGGGAGCAAGCGUUGUUCGGAUUUACUGGGCGUAAAGGGCGUCUAGGCGGGCCAGCCAGUCAGGUGUGAAACCCCCCGGCUCAACCGGGGAUCUGCACUUGAUACUGCUGGUCUUGAGUACGAAAGAGGAAGGCGGAAUUCCUGGUGUAGCGGUGAAAUGCGUAGAUAUCAGGAAGAACACCGGUGGCGAAGGCGGCCUUCUGGUUCGAUACUGACGCUAAAGCGCGAAAGUGUGGGGAGCAAACAGGAUUAGAUACCCUAGUAGUCC
rnacentral:rRNA from 1 species